rnacentral:rRNA from 1 species
ACGGGUGAGUAACAUGUAUCCAACCUGCCGUCUACUCUUGGACAGCCUUCUGAAAGGAAGAUUAAUACAAGAUGGCAUCAUGAGUCCGCAUGUUCACAUGAUUAAAGGUAUUCCGGUAGACGAUGGGGAUGCGUUCCAUUAGAUAGUAGGCGGGGUAACGGCCCACCUAGUCUUCGAUGGAUAGGGGUUCUGAGAGGAAGGUCCCCACAUUGGAACUGAGACACGGUCCAA